GACAACGAAACAAACAGAAACCCUUAAAGCACAUCUGGAACAUUGCUAUUGUUUUGUGGGCUCUGCUACAAGAUGGACAUUGGUGAUUUCUAGCAAAGGGCCAUCACGGCAGUCACAAAGCACAUGGGGAUGAGGAAAGGUUGAGAAACACGGCUUGGCCAGCAUGGAGAAGGGAUGGAUGUGCUGGGACCUAACAGCAGGCUGCCAGUGCUUGUGGGGAGGUAAUGGAGAUGAUGAAGACAGACCCUUCCAGGCUUGCCACAAGGAAGACAUUUCCCCAUGGGGACAGUCACACACUGCUGUGGGAUCUGGAAGAGGUUGUGGGAUCUCCAGCCUUGGAGGUUUUCAAGACCUAGACGGGCAAAGCAAACCGGUCUGAAAUCGGUAUUCACCCUGCCUGCAGCAAGAAGCUGGGCUGGAGACCUCCCAGAGUCACCCCUAGCAUGGAUGGCUGUAGGAAUGCACCAUCACCAGGAAAAAUUAAACAUAAAAAAUUCUCCCAUGAAUUUUGGGAGUGUGACAGCUCGGCUCCAUGCUCCUUUCAAACACAUGCUUCUGUCCAACAACCCAGUGAGGUUGGUUUGCAUAAACCCGACUGGUUCUCUGAACCCCAACUUGGAUGGAGACCACAGUGCUGCACCAUGGCAGAGCACAGCCCUGACCCCGCAGGGACGGCCGUCUUCCCCACCUCCAAACCUCCUCCUGUGGGGAAAGGCUCUCCUGACACCCACGGGGAGCUGCAGAGCAGAAAUGCAACCCAGGCUCAAGGUGAAGGAGGGAACCUGCAGGGGAGGAAGGCACCGAACCCUCCCUUGGCUGGCAGCAUCCUCUGUGUCUUCUGCACAUCCCCAUACCCUCUGCACAUCCUCUACCCAUCCUGGUACAGUCCCAUCAGAGGCUGAGCCAAGCGAAUCUUGCUCUCGGCAAGACCUUGGGGGUCCCACGUGGCGUCCCGCUUCCCGGCACAGCUCGGCGGCUGGAGCAAAGAGCGGAGUCAGAGCCCGGCCUGCAGAGCACUGCGCCGGGUUCACGCACGGGAAACAGAGGAUCGGAAAUCUCCGAAGCGCACAGCUGGAAUCCACACCCCUGACCGUGUUUUUGUGAGAUAUCACGUACAUUUUUUUAGAGCUAUCUGGAGAGGGAUCUGCUUUAGAGCUGCCUGGUCAUGCUGACCGGGACCUUCAAGUGUUCCCUGUCCCCCCAACCCAUGCUCAUCUGUUGCCUUUGCCCUUAGACCAUGAAAUUAUUUAAGGACAGGAUCACGCGUCCUGCCCCACGUCCGUUCAGCAUCAGGGACACAGGGAGGGGGAUAGAAAAGGACGUGCCACCCAGAAAAUUCCCUGUGGGAUACCGUGCACCGACGCCCUGACAUGGUGGUCCCCAGAAACCCUGGGGUUUCUCUCCCCAUCCUAUUUACAGCCUCAGAAGAUCACCACAAGGGGAAAGCCCGUGAGCAGCCGUAAGAUGCUGAUGUGGUACCAAGAAGAAUGGGAACCCCGGCAGUGCUCAGCUCCCUCUGGUAUCACAAAUCUGUUGUCUUCUCCUUUCAGAGCUCCUGCAACAGCAACUAUACAUUUGUCAGCUGCUUCACUACGGGGUCUUUCUUUGCCCCGUUCCACACACUAGGCUCCUGAGCUAAAAACCUACCUUAAAGCCCAAUUUGAAAUUAAAGACCCAGCCUGUCAUAGCAUUAUGUGUUGGCCAAUGUUUUGCAGGCAGACCUUCCCCUUCUCUUUGCGUUUCACAGAUAUUUGCAAGAGGGGUUUGGCCGCAUCCAUACCCACAGAACAGAUGUUUUGGGAGCAUCCCUGGUAAAAACUGGUGCCAAAACCUAGCAGAUCCCUCGCCCAAAAACACACACAUCAGUGACCACCCCCCCCUUUCAGCUGCACUGGGGGGUGGUCGCUGAUCUCAGUUCCCCCCCUUCACACCCCCUGGCCCUGCUCUGCCAGGCUCUGCGAGUAUUUUGGGGAGAGCCCAGGAGCCCUCGCUGCCCAGCCUCCCUCCCACAACGAGAUGGGAAACCCAUUAAACGCUGCAAGCAACGAAGCCUCCGCUGCUGCUCCCCGGGGGCGCUUUCACAGUCAACUUGAGGAAAUUGUUCCUGAUAUCCAGCCUAAAUUUCCCUUUGUUGAUUUUCAGUUCAGCAGCGGAAAGGUGGGAGCUUUAAUGAGACAAGCGGGGCCGCUGCAGGGGAAGGAGCCGUCAGUUUGAGCGAGGCAAUGCACAGAGCUGUGGUUUAAGUGGAGCAGCUAUUGCGAAAAUCCCAGAAUCCUGCAAACUUGGGAUGGAAAAGGUCUAUUAGCUUUCCCAAUGGACUAACGCGAGAUUGUUCCCCCAUUUUCUAAUGCCUCUCCCAGUCCAGCUAUUUGAUUGGGACCAGAGCUCUGCAAAAAUGUGACGGGCUGGCUCUUUUUAAAAAAUAAAAAAAUAAAAAAAAAAAAUGAAUUGCUGCAUGUGGAAUAAAAUUCUGGGCUUUAUGGACAGAUUUUGCAGCUUCAUCCAAGGGCAAAUUUUUUUGCUGGUUGUGAAGCCAAUAACAGCCUUCACUCUUUUUUCCCCUUUACCUGGGGAAAAGGCUUUUCAUCAGUGGUGUGCCUGGAGUAAUGAAGCUGGCAGGCUGUGCCACACCAAUGCAACCGGACUUCUUUGCCCAGCACAGAAACUGGGCUCCCUGCAGAAGAGCUCGACCGCGCGGAGCAAACCUACCACCGGCAGAUGUUUGCCUUAAUGGCAUGCAGUUUUCUUAAAUGUCAGGUGCCUGCAUGGCAGCAGAAGGGCACUUUUUCCACUCUUGCUUUUACAGCUUGUAAAGGCAAAACGGCCGCACGCUCCCUGGAAAUGUCAGCUCCGUUUUCCCGAGGACCUGCCAUCUGUCGGCACGCUGCCUGCACCCGGAGAGGAGAGAAGAGACGAGGAGAGGAGAAGAGAGGACAGAACAGGACAGGACAGGGCAGGAGGAGGAUGCACUUGGAUGCUGAGGGUUUCGCUUCUGUGUCCCCAGCAAUACACUUGAGGGAUAAAACCUCAGCACAGCCCCAAGAACAAAAUGCAGGCGGUGGCAUGCAACAGUUUUGCCCCUGCCUUUCAUUUCCUGACACUGGAGCACUGAUCUGAGGCAGGACCGGGCUUUUCACCCAAAGACGCACAGGAACUUUAAGACCACGUCUGUGCCGGGGUUUGUACAGCAGAAAUAGCAGGGAAGGGGCCAGGGCAGAGGUGCAGCACCGCUCCCUGCCCUGCCUCUCUGCAGCUCCCCAGGUCUCUGCUGACCUUGAGGGAAAAGCUCGCUGCGGCUCCAAUAACGACAGGCUGCAAAAGCUUAAAUAAGAGCGA